UACGUAGGGGGCAAGCGUUGUCCGGAAUCAUUGGGCGUAAAGCGCGUGUAGGCGGCUUGGUAAGUCUGCUCUGAAAGCCCGGGGCUCAACCCCGGGAGGCGGGUGGAUACUGUCAAGCUCGAGUCCGGAAGAGGAGUGUGGAAUUCCUGGUGUAGCGGUGGAAAUGCGCAGAUAUCGAGGAAGGAACACCGGUGGCGAAGGCGGCAUUCUGGACCGAGCUGCGCUGGAGGAGCGAAAGCCAGGGGAGCAAACGGG
rnacentral:rRNA from 1 species